UACGUAGGUGGCAAGCGUUGUCCGGAUUUAUUGGGCGUAAAGCGCGCGCAGGCGGUCCUUUAAGUCUGAUGUGAAAGCCCACGGCUCAACCGUGGAGGGUCAUUGGAAACUGGGGGACUUGAGUGCAGAAGAGGAAAGCGGAAUUCCACGUGUAGCGGUGAAUGCGUAGAGAUGUGGAGGAACACCAGUGGCGAAGGCGGCUUUCUGGUCUGAUAAC
rnacentral:rRNA from 1 species